rnacentral:rRNA from 1 species
AUACGGAGGGUGCAAGCGUUAUCCGGAAUCACUGGGUUUAAAGGGUGCGUAGGCGGCUCAAUCAGUCAGGGGUGAAAUCUUGCAGCUUAACUGUAAAAUUGCCUUUGAUACUGUUGAGCUUGAAUUAGGUUGAGGUUGGCGGAAUGUGACAUGUAGCGGUGAAAUGCAUAGAUAUGUCAUAGAACACCAAUUGCGAAGGCAGCUGGCUAGACCUUAAUUGACGCUGAGGCACGAAAGCGUGGGGAGCGAACAGGAUUAGAAACCCCAGUAGUCC